UACGUAGGGUGCAAGCGUUAAUCGGAAUUACUGGGCGUAAAGCGUGCGCAGGCGGUUAUGUAAGACAGGUGUGAAAUCCCCGGGCUCAACCUGGGAACUGCAUUUGUGACUGCACGGCUGGAGUGCGGCAGAGGGGGAUGGAAUUCCGCGUGUAGCAGUGAAAUGCGUAGAUAUGCGGAGGAACACCGAUGGCGAAGGCAAUCCCCUGGGCCUGCACUGACGCUCAUGCACGAAAGCGUGGGGAGCGAACAGG
rnacentral:rRNA from 1 species